rnacentral:rRNA from 1 species
GUAGUCAUAUGCUUGUCUCAAAGAUUAAGCCAUGCAUGUCUAAGUAUAAGCAAUCUAUACAGUGAAACUGCGAAUGGCUCAUUAAAUCAGUUAUCGUUUAUUUGAUGGUACCUUACUACUUGGAUAACCGUGGUAAUUCUAGAGCUAAUACAUGCUAAAAACCCCGACUUCGGAAGGGGUGUAUUUAUUAGAUAAAAAACCAAUGCUCUUCGGGGCUCCUUGGUGAUUCAUAAUAACUUAACGAAUCGCAUGGCCUUGUGCCGGCGAUGGUUCAUUCAAAUUUCUGCCCUAUCAACUUUCGAUGGUAGGAUAGUGGCCUACCAUGGUUUCAACGGGUAACGGGGAAU